GACGAACGCUGGCGGCGUGCUUAACACAUGCAAGUCGAACGGAAAGGCCCUGCUUUUGUGGGGUGCUCGAGUGGCGAACGGGUGAGUAACACGUGAGUAACCUGCCCUUGACUUUGGGAUAACUUCAGGAAACUGGGGCUAAUACCGGAUAGGAGCUCCUGCUGCAUGGUGGGGGUUGGAAAGUUUCGGCGGUUGGGGAUGGACUCGCGGCUUAUCAGCUUGUUGGUGGGGUAGUGGCUUACCAAGGCUUUGACGGGUAGCCGGCCUGAGAGGGUGACCGGCCAAAUUGGGACUGAGAUACGGCCCAGACUGGUACGGGAGGCAGCAGUGGGGAAUAUUGCACAAUGGGCGGAAGCCUGAUGCAGCAACGCCGCGUGCGGGAUGACGGCCUUCGGGUUGUAAACCGCUUUCGCCUGUGACGAAGCGUGAGUGACGGUAAUGGGUAAAGAAGCACCGGCUAACUACGUG
rnacentral:rRNA from 1 species